rnacentral:lncRNA from 1 species
UGACGCCAGUCAGGGGACACUUAUUUUGAAGGCAGCAACAGGAAGUGGCAAAGGAAACUUUCUGCGCCUCAAAUUCCUGAAGUUUGAGUCUAUUGUUCGUGUCGGGAAGCAGUGAGUGGAUCUCUGGACUCAUUCUGGACGGAAACAACACCGUGCAAGUAACGGGCCACACGGACAUGAAAAAGCUGUGAACCGCCCGUGUGAGAGUGUUGCCCACAUUUUUAAGUUUGGGAGAAGUCGGGAAAACGAGUGCUGAUGGCGAAAGAAGGAGGGAGAUAGUUUGGAGGAGCCGAGGAAGGAGCCGAGGAAGGAGCCGAGGAAGGAGUCGAGGAGGCGCUGGGCUAUGUGGCACAGCUCCCAGAGCUCUGCUAGCGGGAGAACGGGUCGCUUCCCUCGCGCUGGUGGGACCUCGGGCUGUUUGCUGGGAAACAACAUUUGCGCCAGUUUUGCGGGCUCCGUUUGAAAAGUCGCUCCAGCUGAAGUCGCUGCGUUUUGCAGCGUGGUCAAAUUUCCUGGUUCCACCCCAACAGCAGCCAGAGGUACGAGAGGCCUGAUUCAAGCUGAAAUGUAACAAAAUAACUAGGGACAUCUAGUUCACCAACAUGUUAUGUUCUUUCUGAUCCAACUUUCCAUACUUUAAUAUGACAGCGCGAGCUCUGGGCAGAACUUAACCCUUGCCUCCACCUCCACAGAGAUGGAGAGAGAGAAGGAGAGACAGCGGCAGCAGUGGGAGGAGAAGGAGAGCAACGAGGCGGAGGAGGACAGGAAGAGGGCCGGUGAUGCUGACGAUGAGGAGGAGGAGGAGGAGGAGGAGGACCUGGAGAACGCGGUGCUGGUCUGGCAGGAAGACUACGGCAAGGACAACCUGGGCCUUCCCAUCAUGCACUGGGAGGCGCUGAGCCUGCACAUCGCUGAGCUGGAGAAGCAGGAGGAGGAAAAGAAGGCGAAGAGCGGAGCGUCUCUGGAGCGAGGCAGCUGGACAGAGCAAAGGAGGAGAGCAGAGAGUUGGGACGACGGAGACGACAACUGCAGCAAUCACAUGAUAGCACUCAGUUCCCGUUUACAGACACAGAUGAACCUUCAGCUCUGUUUCAUCAACAACAGUGAAAGUGAGGACGAUGAGAAGGAAGGAGACGUUCUUGUGAAGGACAGCUCUGGCACCUGGUCAAAGAGAGCGUCCGUUCAGGCUCAUAAAACUCCUCCGCCUGCUGCCAAGCCGGAGAAACCCAAGUCUGGAGGCUUGAGGAACACGCUGAGGAACCUACGAGACAGACUGAGAGCAGACCACAAAUCACCGGUGAGCUUAAUGUCCCGAGGUGGAGCCUAAUGCCGCCACGUUCCAGUUUCAUCAUGGCUCCAUGGUCUCUGCUUUCACCUUUCAGGCUAAAGCUUGUAGUGAUCGUCUCGUCGAGAGGAGACAUUUGGAGCGAAGUGAUUUAAAUAACUUCACUAUCAAAGAAUUGAAUGCUCUUUGUUCGUCUCUCAGCCAGACUAUACAAGGUAAUCACACGCUCAGUGAUGACACUGGCGCUUUAUCUUUCCUUGUUAUGUACAUUCUGAAGCGUUGCUUUCAUUUUCAAGCUUAGUCCUAACUGUUGGUUUUUACAUCUGUCUCUUUCAGACCUUAGUUCAGAGCUAGUGGGUCGUCUUCAGGUCCGGGAUCAGCUGAGGACAAAACAGGACGCCCUGCUGCUGGAGGUUCAGGACCUGACAUCGGUGUGAACCUGCCAGAGACUCUCGGCUGUUUAGAAAGAUUUGUGUCACUCCGUCAUUUCGUCGACUGCUGUGAUCUGGACGUGUCCUGGAGGGCUGAACUUUUUUUUUUUUAAUUGGAGACAGAACCAGUACAGAGCCACUUGUCUGAGGUGUGGUGUAAACGGUACAGUCAACUACACACAUUGGCAUUGGAAUGGACUUUGUGACUAAGGAGCCGUACUGGUUUGUGUUGGCCGACAGACUAAGUAAUGUAACACUGUGGUUGACUGUAGAUAUUUUAGUCAGUUUGUUGUCUGGGAUGAUCCGUUUACAAUACAUAAAGUAAAAAGGGCUUAUUAAUACACAUAAAUGCACUAUAUCAUAAAUUAGUCUUUGUCCCUUAAACAUUAACUCACUAUAACAGAGCUAGAAAUAAACUUCCGUUCCAAUCCUGCA